rnacentral:pre_miRNA from 1 species
UGUUGAAAAUGUAAUCGAUUUAUAUAAUUAAAAAUUAAUGUAGUUAAUGAAAUAACCAGUUGAUAACACAUAACAUGUCACAUAUACCUCAUGUUGACAUAUAAAGACCGAUUUUUAAUAGUAGAAGUGAAUAAUUUUUUUUACU